rnacentral:sRNA from 1 species
AAAAAAAAGAGCAGAGCUGGGUCUGUGGUACCCCGCACACCCAGUCAGUUGGCACCCGAGGGUAGCAACCCUUCUCCUUGGCAGUCAACUGAAAGGUUUUGGGGACUAGGUUCAGGGGAGACCCUAAGGCAGACUACCAUUUGGUAGAGAAUUUAUUUGUUAUUAAAGUCAUGGAAAAAGCAUGGUGGAGACUCUGGGGAGAGAGCCCAGGUCCCUGAGGCAGAAUGGGAGUCCCUUCUUAGUGCUUUCAGAAGAAGGGGAAGCUUUCUACCUCACAGUUGAGUAGACACAGCACUGGCUUGCUUGCACUCCAGGGGAAGGAAUGUGUGAAUGCAACUGUGUAGGGGACGGAUGGCUGUCUAGUUGGGUCGAGCCCAUUAAAACAGAGCACUCUCGUGGAGUCUGGUAGUCUGAGGUCUGUAAGCUUCCUUCAGGAAAUGCUGUGCCUGCCAUUCUCUUGGAAAAUGGCAGCUGAGGCUGUCAGAGGUCCACAGAUAGGCAGACUCUUGGAGAGGGUUUACUGUUUCCCUCACAGCAGUGGUGAGGAGGAGGCCGCCCCAGGUGAGCGCAUCCCGAUUAACUCCUCAUCAGAAACCUAAUAUUGACCUGGCAAGAAUGAAGAUGCUCUCACCCUUCCGAAAGCUGUGACUUUAACACAGCUCCUCAUGUCGUGGUGACCUCCCAACCAUACAAUUCUUUUUGUGGCUACUUCAUAACUGUAAUUUUGCUGUUAUGAAUCGUAAUGUAAAUAUCUGUUUUCCGAUGGUGACCCCUGUGAAAGGGUCAUUCAUUCUGCCUUCCUGAAAAGGUGUGGCGCCCCCCAGGUUGAGAGCUGCUGUUCUAUUUCUAUGUCUCUCCUGUUGGCUUUCAACACAUUUCAGCACACUGGAUGAGUGUUCCUAAGAAUCUCCUGUGAGGGAAAGGAAAGGGCUGAGGGCAGGGCGGGAGCUCAUUUCCUGAACAGAGAUUUCACUGGGUUCUGACAACUUGUCCGACCACCUUGCUGGAGGAGGCAGGCAGGACACUGUUGGAGGUAUUGCUGGACCUCUGUUCCUCUUGCUUAUUUAAUAGACCCGUUGAGGAUGGCUAGCCAAAUCUGGGCUACUGCUAGGCAGGGCCCAGUCCCUGCUCCUAACUGCACCAGUCUCAAUACUCAUGUGGAGAAGGUAGCUUCAGGAAAUGGUUGAUGGGAACCAAGGUGCAGCCUAGCUGAAGUGACACACAGACUCGGGGGAGGAGGACCAGGACUAAGCAGCUGCACCCUGCAAGCUGAAAGGUCUUGAAUGGUGGGGCUCAAAGGGGACACUGAGAUGGAUUGUGGGAGCAAGGAGUUUAUUAGAAGAGUUAUUAAUGCCAUGGACAGACAGCAACAUGGCUGGGGCUCUUGAGGACAGGCCGUCUGCAGAUAUCUGGGUUCCUUACAGCACCCCCGGUGGGAGUGGGUUCACAUCCAGGCUCUCUCAUCCCGCAGCAGGGAAAGGGAGAGGACUGGGGUGUGUGGCCACAGUAGCCAUAGCUACUUCUCCAAGUAAGAAAUCUGGGCACCUGAAGUCUAUUAGCUAGAGAUUUACAGGCAGAGCCCUCAGUGGGUGCCUGUCAGGACCUGAGACAGGAAGGGCCCUGCAGGUGUGCUGGCUGAGCAGCAGUCUGGUUUGGAGUCUAUCCUAGGCCUCCAGCCAGGUGCCCUACAGGGCCUAAGAAUGGAGGGCCUGUGGUGUCCUGAAGCCAUGGGCCAGAGCCUGAAGGCUGUGCCCUUACCUUCUGGAGUGGGGUGAGGGAGGGAUGUUCUCCCUUUAGGAACAUUGAGCGGCUUUAAGCCUGGAAGGGAGCACAGAGAAAGUCUCAGUCACCUUUAAGAUGGAAUGAGUAUUGUGAAGCCAGAAUAGGGUGUUGCUAUUUGACUGGGACCUGUUUUUAGCCCUACCCUCCCUUUGAGGGAAGCUACCAGGGGGCCUUGUUGGUUAAUGGAACCUGGAGUACCCAGGCCAGAGUGAAGUGUCCGCUGUGGUUAGCAGAGGGGCUUCAGUGGGCUCCAGAUUGUUGCAGGCCCUAAUUGCAGACCAUCUUGGCUUUGCCUGGGACCUAGCAGAGGGCUUCGGUGUUUUGAGCAAGCAUGUCCUAAGGAGGCCCCUGUGGGAGGGAGUGUGAGCCAGCAGGCCAGGGCUUCACCCUGGAGAUCUUGAACCCUAGGUGUGCAGAGUUCUCAAUAGAGGAUUCUGGGCCUGAGAAGCCUGCAGCAUUGAUCAGGGCCAUCCCAGAGCCACUGCUCCCGCCAGGAGGUGGCCCCACCCCCUGGCCAGCACAGAAGCUGUGGAGGACCAUGCAGAGAUUCAAGGAUGGAGGCCCUGGCUCGCUGUGCAUGGUCGUAGCACUGGCCUAGCCCAGGUCUCAGAUUCCCUUCUCAUCACCUUCUGGUUUGCCUAUGUGCCUUGAGCCCCACUUCUGUCUCUGUUGCUGUAGUAAGCAACAGAUCUGAAUUUGGAAGGCACCUGUUCAGAUUUCCAGGGUUUCUCAUGUGUUUUGACAUGUGAACUGGGCCUACAGAAUAGAGAGGGAGAGACUGAAGAGUUAGAACACGCAGACGUAACAGCAGAUGGAUCGGAUUCUGGAAUCAAGUUUGGUGGGCGGUGAAGGCCAGCGGGAUCGAUUGCGUACCCAACUUCAGAGAGUAGGAUCAGCGGUUUGGUUUGUGGAGGCCGAGUCCCUGAGGAGGGAGCUUGGUUACGCCACUCCUGGGCUUCAGCACCAGAUGAAUGAAAAAAUGAAAUAAAAGGAGGAGGACAUGACUAAGUAAGAAGACAGUUAUUGUAGAUACAAGGGAAGAAGCAGGCAGAGGAAGGAGGCAGGGCUGGGGCAUGACCGGCAGAUGAUACGGGACCAUGCGAACAGCGAAGGGAAGGGACAGCAAGAGAGGUGGCCAAGACCAGGAGACCAGGAGAUAGAUGUGGCCAAAAUGGCUGAGUUAUAAGGCACCAGAGCUGGGGGGAAGGGGAGGGAGGAGCUUAGGGCAGGGGCGGGGCAAGGAGUGCGGAGAGAAACUCCAGGUUCUGAGUCUCUGGGGGAGCUGGCCAGCAUCGGCUUUGAUCUGUUAAUAGGUACCUUGGCCACUCGUCCGUAUUUGAGACCUAACAAGAGACACACACAUAGUGAUAGAAACAGGGGCAGUUUAUUAAGAAAGAAAAGGGCACUCCUGGGGGUGGAAAUAGGCCAGUAAGCCGGGAGAAAGCUGCUGGCACCACAGAUUUUGAACUUUUUAUACGUUAACAUAGCAACUGCCUUCUUGCACUGUAUAUUGUGGGCUUGUCCUUAGCAUGCCCAGGUAUGGGUUUCCAGUUUUCUUUGCUAACUGACUUCUAUAUAUGUUCCUUCCUACUUUUCUGGUACAGCAUCAUAGUUUGCCAGCCUCCUCGGGCUUUUGGGAAAGACCAGCCUAUUGGCCACUGCUGCUGACCACCCCAUGACCCAUGUAAAUUCAUUUUCUGUUUAUAUUAUAUUCCCACCAGAAGCCCUGGUUUCUUGCCUGUUCCCGCCUUGCGUGCCUAUUAUCUCCCCUGGGCCCUGCUACCUGCCCCAUGAGCCUUAGUUUGGAAUUGGUUUCUGGUUCAAAAAGGAUUGGUCUAGGACAUGUUUAAUAAAUACCCACUCCUGGGCCUCACCCUAGAUGGUCCACACUCUGUGCUAGAGCCAGAGCCUCCCGCGUUUGGGGCAUCCAGUUGCUUUGGGGACAAGGGUCUCUCUUUACCUGGCACCUAUUAGCCUCCAUGGGGGCCUGUGGGUUCUGCUUCAACUCUUGCAAUGAACUCUGUUCCCCUCCAAUCACAUCUUGUUUCUGUCCCUGAAGGACUGGUCCCUAUAGAGUUGGGACGAGAUGAGAGGCCACUGUGGAUGGGGCCUAGGUAACAGAACAACACAAGACCUGUCCGCUAGGCUCCCAUCUUGCUGGGUCACCGAUCUCACUUGAGUAAGGGGAAGGAGGCAAAAACCUCCUGGCAGGUCCUGGCAGGGGAUGAGAGCAGCAUCAGGUAUCUGGGAGAGACUGGCUAGUGUCUGAUAGCAAAUCUUUACUGUUGGAUCCAUUUAAGCUGCCUUCUCACAUGCCCACCACUUUCUGGGAUCCUGUCAUUAGAGAAAGACCCUGUAGUUCACUGCUACAUAGCCCGGCACAUAGUAGGCCCUCAAUAAAUAUUUGUUGAAUAAAUGAGAUGGGAUUCAAAACCAAGAAUAGGUUUUGGGUGUCUGAAUCUUUCCAUGUCAUCCUCUCCACUGGGGACCCAGCUCCAAGAGCUUCAUGGGGUCUAGGCCACCAGUCAGGGCAGGUGUGAACCUCACCUCAAACCCUAGUACAAAGCCACUGUGUCUCUGUAAGGGGCAUAGAACUUCCUUUUAAUACAGGAGGUUCUUUGUCAGAUUUUGGGGAUCCUGAGCUUCCCAACUCAGGAGCCAAUCAGCAACUGCCGGAGCCCCUCCAUCACUGCAAUUACAGACACAGACACAGGUUCCUGGAUCCUGGCCCCUGCUGACCUCUUCUACUGUCUCCUGGCCCCACACCCCUCCUUGGCCAUCCCUUAGCAGAUCCCUUUUCAGACUAAAUUACCUUUUACUGAUCACAAUAUCAAUCUCCUUGUCAGAGACUUGGUUUUGACAACACUGAGUGAUAGAAAUCUAGAAACGAUAAUCUACCUUAGGACUUACAUAUAUUAAAGUUAAUACCUCCCCACCCUCCCCACCCCAAAAAAACCCAGCCUAUCAUCUAACACCUGCUGGGCGUGCCCUUGGAAGAGGCCUUGUUCUUUACAAGGUCGGCAGGGCCCUUAACACACCCGUGCCUUGUCCCAGCCUCUAUCUUACAUGAAGAAGCUGAGGUGGGCCCCGGAGGCGUGUCCGGAAUAUAGUCCAAGCACACUUCCCAGCUCCUGCUCUCGUCCUUGUGACUGUCCAGCUAGCAGGGGUCACAGAGGCACCUGGCCAGUCACAUCAUUAGGGAUGAGAAGCCACAAGGUUGGGCAGGGAAUGCAGAAUGAGUUCACUCAGCCUCCUGGGACUCUGCUCAAAGACAACCAUCAGGUGUACCAAGAAGCUCUGCAUAUGUGUCACUGGCAGCAGCCCCAGAAAUGGACUCCAGCCUCAGACGCCUCCCCGGGGAAGGGAGUAACUGCGAUUUGUUGCUUAAGCAGCUUCCUGGCCCCCAACUUCUUUGUGCUGCCUGCACUGUGAACGUUAAUAAGGCUGAAACCCCCAUGCUCAUUAUUGACAUAACAGAAGAAACAAAUUAAUUUUUCUGAUAAUUCUAGACUCUGGGUCUUCUCUCUCUAAGGUCAACUCCUAUGUAGACAUUGCCCCAAUAAAACCCAGCAAGUAUUUGAGACAUUUCCCCCAUGAGAAGCAAAAAGGCCGUUUCUGUCCUUUUCUCAGUGCGUGCUACAGAAGGAAUAAGCGACAUUUGGUGAGAAAUGUUCAUUUUUCAAAAGUUUGAAUUCCUCUGUGUCCCCCCGCGCCCCCCCCGCUCCCCAAGAAGUUUUAGGCCCUGCCCUAGACAAAGAAAUUUUCAGUUCUGUAACCUAGCUAUACUUUUUACUCUACAACUGAAUUUUAUACUCUUUCCUCAAAGGAGGCUGAGAGGACUCAGCACUGGUCACUUGCCUAGUAGUCCUGAAGGCCUAAGUUCCAUCCUGCCACCAAAAAGAGAAAAAGUUUACCAUUCUUUAUCAGCACCAUAAUUAGCAGACUUAGUUUUCAAAUUAGAUUUAAGUGAAUUCUGUUUUAAAGUCAGGAAAAGAAAGGCCUUCAUGAAGAGCAGCCACCAACUAACCACACUGGCCAGAACCAUGUUGGCUGUGGAGCAACCUAGUCCCUUAGUCCAGCUGAGACCGACCAGACCAGGGCACGGCCCAGCCCAGCCAAGAGCCUGCAGGUUCCCUGUCUGUCUGUGCACGUGGCUGUGGUUUCAGAGUAGCGUUAGCUAUUCAUCUGGAAGCAGGGUCAAAGUUCUUCCCUGGGGGAAAUCGCACAGAGAGUAGCGAUUCCCCAGACUUUUAGGCAGUACAGGACAUGCUUGUCACUGUUACACACACCCGUCAGUCCUGCUUCCUCACUCCUAGCCUUAAAUAAAGAGGUGAUUUUGGUUUUGUCGCUUUUUAAUGUUCCUAUCCCAUAGCUAAGGUAGAAGGGCAUCAGGGCACAGAAAGGCAGGGACUUCGGGUUCUGGGUGGUGGUUCCUUUCAUUACUGGGGGGCCCAGGCAAGGAUCGACACCAUGGGCCAGGGCUUUGGACACUUGUAAGCCUGCCCGAUAAAACUUCAAGAAUUGGGACACAUGCCUUUAGUCUCAGCAUUGAGGAGGCAGAGGCAGGAGGAUCUCUGAGUUAGAGAGAUCCUGGUCUAUAUAGUGAGUUCCAGGAUAGCCAGGACUAUGCAGAGACCCUAUUCCAAAAAAGCACCCCAAAAAGGAAGGAUAAUUAGAUUCCUGGGAAUCUAGGUCCACAGAAGCAUUAAUCUAAGGAGUUUCUGUCCUUGCCCAUCCAGGUUGGUCUUCUAUUACUAAAUACCUGGGGUUUGUUAUUUUAUUUUGAAGCUUCCAUUAAUCCUGCCCCAUCUGAAUCCAGUGUCUCCAGUAGCCUGGGGCCAUGUCAGGUCCAGCCUGGCUUGAACACCCUUUUCUACCUGGGGGCCCUUCUGUGAUUUCGGCUUUACACUAAUGUCCCCAAACACUUCGUGCCCAGUUCCCCUCCACAGAAAGACCCUCUCCAAACACCCCAUCUGAAGCAGGGUUACCCAGUGCCAUUCCUGUCUUUCCUCCUGGGCACUUCAAGUUCUGUGCUAGCUAGUCUCUUCUGGUCCUAUCAGUCAGUCUUUGUAGCCAAGUCCCGUGUAACUGGCACUCAUGCUCGCAAAUGUUCAUUUGCUUAAGUGAUGGAGGAAGGGUCUCAGGCCUGGUGCUGGGUACAGGGUAGCCAGCCCGAUCCAGAGUGCCUCAGGCGACCCACAAGGCUGUUGUCCAGCUACAUUAACAGGAAUGAAGAAAGACUUUGUUGCUGACGCGGUCUUGGGCCACGGAGGAUGGUCCAGCUCCUAGGAAGAUAGAGCUGCCUCCCUGGUUCUCAGGGCCCCGCUGGCCCUGCUACUGGAGGUGACAGCAUCUUCUGAUCCACUGCCUUUCAGCUCAGCAGUUGGCCGUUGGGUAAGCGUUGGGAGCGCCCAUCCCCCGCCUCCCCAUCCUAUCUCCAUGGAGAUCCACACUUUCCCCGCCCACCAGUCACAGAGGCAGAGGCGGGGCAGGGAGGGGGCAGCGCCGCCUCUGCGCUGCAGUCACAAUGCUUUCUCACAGACCCUUCUCCUGCGAAACAGCCAGUAGAACUAGGAAGGGCGUGGGGUCUUGAUGUGUUUGGUGCCCAGGGCUGCCCCGCACUAGUGUUUGCUGCAGCCACACCCUUCUAUAGAUCUGGUGACGGGUUUCCCAGCAGAAGCCAGAGAGGGAGGGCCCAAGGGGUUUCCCCAAGGACCGUAUUCCAGGAAGGAGAUUGCUCCCUGAAGAACCAGCCAUUUUUAAGAGACUGUGCAAACUGGACCUCAAGAAACAGACAGCAAGGAACAGAUAGUUUUCCAAGGAAGAAGGUGGGAAGAAGUAGAGAAAGGUUCACAGGGAAGGGGAGGAUCCAUGCUCUGCCAGCUAGAGCUGCCUUACAUCAUCCUGGCUCCUGGGCCCUUCAGUUGAAUAAGAGCUAAGUGGAGAAGCUAGGGGGAGUCUGGCUGUGGCUUCUUGUGCCUCCUCUGCAGGCAAAAGUUGGAAUUGUCUUCUUCCGACCUGAGAAAGUGACGCCAACAUUGCUCUGAGUUCAAGGUAGGAAGUCUGGGAUUCCAAAGCUGCUGAGAGAAGCAGGACGGAAAGCUUCGUCUCCAAGUAAGGAAUCAUCACUGGAUGCUGCCGAUGCCGAAGGGCGUCAUCUGCCUGCAACCUCCUAGAUGCUUGGCGUGGUCUUGUAGCUCUCAAGGGGUAAGAAUGUCCCAUCUGUGAAGUCUGACGCGGGGGCUAUGGUGGCAGGAACAGGGUCAGCCUUAGCUAGACUGCGCGUGUAUAAAGUGCUCUCUCCACACACAUCCCUUCCUCUAACCCAGGCCUCCCCAAUGUCUGUAGUGUGUGGCCUUGCAGUAGACACCGUGUUGGCUGUCAGGCCCUGUGGGAGAAGGCUCGCUUAAACACACAAGAGGCCUGGUUCCUAUCCUCAGCACUUGACCGAGUCAGUCAGUGAGGAAAAGAGAAAGGAACCUUCCAUCAUGGGUUUCCAGGUGCCAGUAGCUAGUGGCAACAAGGGAUCAGCCUGUUGGGGUGGGAGUUUGGAGAUAAGGGCUCCGCUGGCUCCUGACUCCUCUGUGUCCACACCUCCCAGCCUCUUCCCGCCUGCCUGCUUUUGCUCUCUCCCUUCGUGCUCUGGGGCCUGCCUGCUUUUGCUCUCUCCCUUUGUGCUCUGGGACCCACCCUUUCAUUGCUACUUUCCAGUCACUGCGACACGAACAAGCUGAGGAAAAAUGCUCUCUAGAUGGCAGGUUAUCUCCUCUCAGUGCUCAUCAUACCUGCUUACGAAUUUGAGGAGAGAGUACAUUUAUUUACUCUAGAGUUUUUCUUGAAUGUUAGGUCCUAUAAGAAGGAAUUCACUAAGCCCAAGGGGCAUUUAAAAGGUCAUAUGCAGCAAAUAUUCUGGAAGCUAAGGAGGAGAGGAUAGACACCAUGAUUUAAGGAUUCUCUGCAGGAGACAAGGAUCUGGACGAUGUUCCAGUUUAUCUUUUGCCUUAUAGAUGGGUAAUCCUCUGGCCCACAGCCUGUGUGUCCCUGGUUCUCCUUACCCGCUGAGAUCGCAAGAUCCAUGGGCCUAAGAAGGGAACACUGGUUAACAAGGUCUGCACAGCUCUGCGCAGACUCUGGUUUGAGAGGUCAGACUGGCUUCUUACAGGGGAAGCAUCAGAUGCGAAUUCCUGUGUUCCCUAAGUGUGGCAAAGUUUUUUCCUGAGUGCCCUUCACUAAGGGAAGUACCUUCAGCAGAGCCCCCAGAAGCAGCAGUUUCACUAGGAGUAGCAGCAGAAGCCCCUCACUGCUGCAGGGUCAGAAGAGCAAGGGGUUAAACUCGAGGACCCUGAAGGCAGAGUGGCGUGUUCUCAGAACCUGGGGUAUGGCUUGCCAUAAGCGGAGGGGGGAGAGGUAGCGUCUAGUUCCACUUCAGACGUUACCUCCCUUUGGCCUGGCCACUACGGCAGGGACCUUAGGAGGUCAGAAGACAGUGUCAUCCUAGUGGCCAGGAGUGUCUUUGCAUUCUUGGGACCAUGAAUACCCAACUAGGUGGGACCUUUAGACCAGCCCAUUGAGAAUUCCCCUCUGUGAGGAUGAGGACACUGUCACAGAUGCUCCUUGUUACAACCUUGAGUCCUGAUGGUUGUGGCAUGAGAUCCAAGCAGAAGAUGGAUAUGAAUAGCCAGUUUCUCUUGAAAAACGGGCAGACUAGUUGGCAAAUAGGCCCAGCGAGUGUCUGAAAGGACCCGUGAGCUGCAUGUAACCAGUUUCAGUUGAACGCCAUUAGUCUUAGAGACAGGUCAUGAAUUUGAGGAAUCAUUACCUGAGGACUAGAUUGGAGAAUGAUGGAUCUUAGAGGCAAAACCAUGAGCUGUCAGCCAUGGCUGAUAAUGGGUCUGCUUGUGAAGGUUCAGAGGGAAAUUUGUCCCUUAAAGAGCCUUGUCAGGGCUGUUCAUGUGAUGAUGGUUUCUGGUCAGCUAAUAAGAGACCAGUGUCGUCCAGGUUCAUCUGGGAAGAAGUUAUUCAGGGUCAGCACACACAGGCUGUGGUCCAGAGGAACCAAGGCUGUAUCCCAUGCUGGCAGCCAAACUUGGUACCAUGUGAAUAGUCUUGCACAUGGCCCUGGUUUAGUGGCAGAAGUGCCAAGACUGGAUGAGCACCCAGCAUAGCAGUAGAUCCUGUGAGACAAGCUGUGUGUGCUGGAGAAGUCAGAACCAGAGAGAAGGGCCUGGCCCUGUGGAGCCCAGAUUAUGAGUAAGUCUAGAUACUGGAGAUGGCAUUCUGGUUCUAAUUGUACCCUUUUUCUUCCUUUGGAAUUAGGAGAGUAUAUAUUUGUUCUAUUUGGGUUUUUGGGGGGUUGGGGAUUUCUGCAACUGACUGCAUUGGUAGAUGUUUGGGUCCCAGAACAAGCAGAUCUUGGGCUUCCCUGAGUAUAUGAAUAGGCUAAUGAGCUGGAGCCGACCUGCCUCCUCUCCUGGCUCUGCCUCCAGCUGUGAAGCACCCAUCACAUAGGCAAAUAGGGUUUCUGGGUCCUUCCAGAGCUUGUGUAGUCUACUGAAGGCAGACAGUGGAGAUGGGGAGGGUCUGAGCCAUGGGCAAGGCAUAGAAAGCCUAUGACUUAGUCUGCUCUUCCUGCGACAGACUAGACCUCACUAGCUGCUCUCUGCUGACAGACUGGGGAGGCUGCCACUCUGACCCAGGACUUCUCUCCUGUCUCACUGCAGACAGAACAAUCUGUUCCAAGAAAGGUACUGUCAGCUGUGCCUCAAACACCAGGCAGAAUUAGAUCUUCAGAAACUCAACUCUCUCCUUUUCCUUUUGUCAGGAGGCUUGGUCCCAGAAUCCCGUUCCUUUGCAGAAAUUCAGACCCACUUAUAUUCACAGAGCCUUCUUGUUAGCAGAGUCUAAAGACACCAGAGGUUAUUAUAGACUUUCAGUUACUUGGUCACCGGGGUCUAUCCAAAGUACAGUGUAGACAUUGGUAAAGACAGAUGCUACGUCAGUGUGAUCCUUUGUGACCAUGGAUGCUAUGAACUGGACUGUGAGACGUCACAAUGCGCGACUCAAUAGGUAGAUUCAUCUGUGCAAAAUGAGGGAGGCAGGACUUUGGGUGCAGCCAGUUUUACUGAGCUCAGUGAGUUUCCCGGUCAUCACAAACCGUUAGUUCAGUUUUAGAGAACAAAUGCGUUUUGUGUGUACAUUAAGUGGUCACUGCUACCUGAGCACAGCCAGAAGCUGGCUCUGCCCUCCCAUCUCAGGCCCAACCAUACUUUGUCUCAGAAUGUCUUCCAACAGCCCAAGACAACGUGGGAGGGAGAAAGGAAAAAAGCGAAAUAACCAGAGUAAAGGCCUGUGGCUGCUACUCAUCUCAGGAUGUAAAGCUGUCUCCACUCUGUAAUGUCCACUCAAAAUCAAAAGCAGGUACUGCGGGCCACUCCAGGGGCCUGUCCUAUGUUCACAGUAAUGUUUACUUGGAAACAGCGUGUCCACAGGUAAUAACUCAUUCUGCGUUUGGUUCAGCAUUAUUUUAUUAAGGUGGUGUGAUACUGUUAUGUUCCGUGAGAUGGCUUGGUGUUUCCCAAGUAAAAAAGACUAUCUGCAAAGUGACAAGGGCUUGAGCAAGUCCCAUACGGUAUAUAGGUCAGAGUUCGAUACACUGAUGUCAAACCUCUGCUUGGAUCAACAAUAAUUGCAAUAACUGACUUAGAGAACAAAAAUACACAUCUAAUCAAAGUUCAAGCGUUCUUUUGGCUUUUGUACAAAUAUUCCACAGUAGUUACAAUACCGGACAGGUACCUCCUGGGUGUUCCCUAAGUAACCAUAUGCAGUGGCUAUACUAAUGUGGUCAGAGGAAUAUAAAGGUAGAAUCUUUCUACCCUUGCCCUCCAAAGCCAACUAAGUUUGGGGGAUGGUAGGGCAUCUCUCAAAGUGUUAAUACUGUAAGGGGGUCUCUGACUCAUUUGUCAGGGCCAGACCCCUCACGGAACUCUACCCUGUGCAGUCUGCAAAGAGGAGCAUCAAUAGGGAGGAAAGGUGCCCUUCACACUUUCAAGCAAAGCCAUGGUCAACAAGCCCCUGACACAGGUGGAAGAGUUGGUCAAAGGCAGCCUAAGGGGCCGAAAAAUCCCCUCUAGCCUGUGACUCAGACCAGAUCCUCAAAUGGCCUUGGCAGUAAAAAUAACCCGAAAACACGAUGAACUACGGCCACAUCUAUGGCCUUGAAAAUACAGCCAAGCAGCAGGACAAGUUUAACAAUUCAAGGCAGCAGUUCUCAAGUAUGGGUUGUGACCAUCGAAUAAACACAUAUUCCCGAUGGUCUUAGGAACUGAGACACUGCUCAGUAGCAAAAUUACUGUUAUGAAGUAGCAACAAAAAUGUAUGAUUAGGGGCUCCUAGGGCCAUCAAAAACACAUGUUUUCCUACCUUCACAACCACUGGCUUAAGGGUGUCAUGCUUCCUGCACAUUAAGCUUAAAUCUGUAUAAUCAGUAUGGGAUAUUUACACUGUUUCUGGUGAUUUUCUUCUUGCUAAGAAAAAUGUUGACAUGAUAGGACAUCAUGACCUUGCCUAAUACUCUCAAUUCAACACAGAUACCAAUCUGCAGCCAAAAGAGGCAGGCCUUAAACAAACAACCAGAAAACUGAAAAAUCAAAUGAUAAAUUUCUUCUCUCUCUGGCUCUCUCUAGAAGCCACCCAGGAGGGUCCUUGCUGACUCUAUCCACUCCGACAGCUGAGAGCAGAUCCUGGGGUUUACCACUCAAGACCAGCCAUGGAUGUGGGAAUGGCUGCCCCACAAGUGCAGGAAGGCCAGGUCACUCCAGUGACCCAAUAUACACAGGGGCCACCUGCUCUCUGAAGGCAGGGUCUGGGGGUCAGAGAUGCUCUAUGGAGCCAAGGUUUCAACCCUUCUGCCUCUAUUUCCCCAGUUUUGAGAUUGUAGAUGUAAACUAUAAUGCCCAUUUACUUUAAUUUCUGAGGUUUUAAAGUUUCUGAGCCAGUGUCUUACUCUGGCCCUGACUGGCGUUGACUAGGUCAGGCUGUGGUAAGGCCAGGACUAUGUGACCAUAGUAGCUGUGGUAAGGCCAGGACUACAUAACCAUAUGUAACUUCAGCCAUGUUUCAUCUCUAGUGAGCCUUCCUGUUAACUUUACAGACUUUGUGUUUUGGUGGAGAUAUGUUAUAGUUUGUAUCUGAAAGUUCGCCAGUUUGAACCUUUCCCAAAACUGUGGCUAAGAAAAAGAUCCACACUAGGGUAGGCAUUCUAGGGAAAAGCUGGAAGGCACCCUUGCCUCUGUGCACCACCGAGAAUCCAAUGAACAUUGAGAAUGUCCCCACACAGCUCAAGUCUUCGAGAGAAAACAGACAGAGAGAGCAACUGUUGUUUGUUCUUGUUAAAUUUUAUUGGCAUCACGCUCAUCUCUUUACAGAAGAACUCAGCCUACACCCUAGAAUGUAGACUUCUGGAGGGGAAGUGCUCCGGGAAGCAAGCCAUGAUGCAGGGCAGGACCUCAGGAGGGGACAGAACUGCCAGGGCUCAACCCAAGAGACUGUGGGUUAGUGCUGGGCCACACUAGGGUGGGUGGGAAAGGAGGGGAUCUGCUAACCUACAGGUACCACAACCCUGAAAGGAGCGCCUUCUAGAACAAAGGUAGAGUCACUGACUGGGACAGGUCUGGUGGGGUUCUCCUUUCCUCUUUGAGUAGGACAGUGAUCUAAGGGCAUUGGGAAGUGUUGAACAGAA